CGAAAUUCCUUGUCGGGUAAGUUCCGACCUGCACGAAUGGCGUAACGACUUCCCCACUGUCUCCAGCAUCGACUCAGCGAAAUUGAACUCUCCGUGAAGAUGCGGAGUACCCGCGGUCAGACGGAAAGACCCCGUGCACCUUUACUACAGCUUUACAGUGGUAUUAGGAACGUCCUGUGUAGGAUAGGUGGGAGGCUUUGAAGCAUUAGCGUCAGCUUUUGUGGAGCCAACCUUGAAAUACCACCCUUGACGUUUUUGAUAUCUAACCGCGACCCGUGAAACCGGGUUCGAGACAUUGUAUGGUGGGUAGUUUGACUGGGGCGGUCGCCUCCUAAAUGGUAACGGAGGCGCGCGAAGGUAGGCUCAGGCCGGUCGGAAAUCGGUCGUCGAGUGCAAUAGCAAAAGCCUGCCUGACUGCGAGACUGACAAGUCGAGCAGAAACGAAAGUUGGUUAUAGUGAUCCGGUGGUUCUGCGUGGAAGGGCCAUCGCUCAACGGAUAAAAGGUACGCCGGGGAUAACAGGCUGAUAACCCCCAAGAGUCCAUAUCGACGGGGUUGUUUGGCACCUCGAUGUCGGCUCAUCUCAUCCUGGGGCUGGAGCAGGUCCCAAGGGUUUGGCUGUUCGCCAAUUAAAGAGGUACGUGAGCUGGGUUUAGAACGUCGUGAGACAGUUCGGUCCCUAUCUGCCGUGGGUGUUGAAGAAUUGAGAGGAGCUGCCCCUAGUACGAGAGGACCGGGGUGGACGUACCUCUGGUGUACCGGUUGUAACGCCAGUUGCAUCGCCGGGUAGCUAUGUACGGACAGGAUAACCGCUGAAAGCAUCUAAGCGGGAAGCCCCCCUCGAAACCAUUUCUUCCUUGAGAGCCGUGGAAGACCACCACGUUGAUAGGCCAGGUGUGGAAGUGCGGUAACGCAUGCAGCUAACUGGUACUAAUCGCUCGAUCGGCUUGAAUGC
rnacentral:rRNA from 1 species